GUGAUCACGUAAUAUGUGAACGACCCCAUAGAACAUGAACAGAGUUGGUACUCUCAUAAGUUUUAACCUAAAUCUUAACUUAAGUCUACCCUGUGGGCUGUUCCAUAUAAUUAUUAUUACUGUAACUUUGCAGAUUUUUGAACUCUAAAUCUGUUUUGAGCCUAGAGGGGUUAAUUUUGUGAUUUAUAAGAAAUUUUUUUGGAAGUUUUAGACUUUCACUUACUGCCCAGUUAAUUUUAAAACAUCUCCGUCAUACCUUGCUCAAAUAUUAGCUUGCUUUUACAUAAACUAAACCGAGUUUAUGUACCUUCCCUAAUAUAAUUUGUCAAUAUUUAUUAAAGCAGCUUACAAAACGUGAUUAAUGCUGUGGAUUAUUUUUCAUUUUGAUCAAGUCAUGAUUUCAAUUAGCCGAACAUUGUAUUAUUAAAAUUGCUUCAAAAGGUGAUUUACAUUUAUAUUCUAACCUUGAUUAAUAUGGUCUGGAUCGGUGUAAACUUACUACAGGUAAACUUACUACAAUACCAUAACUCACCUCCUAGAGUACCCAUUACUUAUGGCACAUAUCCCAAGUGUUUAGAAUACUCGGUAAUACAAAACGGUUGGGUGUUCCAGCCAAAAUACUUAGGUAUUCCAGGUGAUUCCAGGUAUCACCUGGUAUUCCAGGUGAUGGGGGGUACACGUACUUAAGUUAGACACGUACUGUAGUUCGACAAACACUAAAUUUCGACUCUGUCGAACUAAAGUGCGUGUCGAACUAGAGUAUGUGAAUCUAUAUUCCAGUUCAGGGUAUUGUUGGUAGGAGUUGUGUGUAUUGUGUAGUAACUAGUACCUGCAGUAUUUCUUAUCACCAUCAUUAAGGGGAAAUUUGAAGAUAUUUACAUGUAAAUUUAAAUCUUAACCAUGAAUUGUAGCAUUGCUGCCCUUUUCUGCCCGUCCUUUACAAGUUGAAAUA